rnacentral:tRNA from 2 species
GGGCGGUUAGCUCAGUUGGUAGAGCGCAACAUUGACGUUGUUGAUGUCAGAGGUUCGAAUCCUCUACCGCCCACUA